ensembl:lncRNA GOLGA6L9-AS1 GOLGA6L9 antisense RNA 1
CAGAGAACAGUCUUCAGACCUAGAAAGGACUUGAGGAGUCCCAGAGAGGAGCCACAUGGUGUGAACCAUUCGAUUCUCACAACAGAAUGGAUAAGAACAAUUUCAACCAUGAAACCGUGCAGAUGUUCAUAUUUUGAAUAGGGGCUGAAGCAGUGCCUACUCGAUAGAAUCAGUCAUCAUGCAAAUAAAAGCCACCUGAGUCAAAGGCAAAGCCAGAGUGCAGCUUGGAGCAAAGAAGUUAAAAGCAUAUUGGCAGAGGAAGAGCCCUGGCAUUCCAGCAGGAGCUAACAGGAAAAAGAAAGUCAAUGGCAGUAGCCCUGACACAGCCACUUCUGGUGGUUACCACUCACCUGGGGAUCAACAGGUAUCUACGGGGAGGGCCGUGCAUCCUCUACUACCCUGCAGGAUCUGGAGAGCCAGUACCAAGAACUAGCAGUAGCCCUGGAUUCAAGCUCCGCAAUAAUCAGUCAACUCACUGAAAACAUCAAUUCACUGGUUCGCACAUCUAAGGAGGAGAAGAAGCAUGAGAUACAUCUGGUACAGAAGCUUGGGAGGAGCUUGUUCAAACUCAAAAACCAGACGGCUGAACCCCUGGCCCCACAGCCCCCAGCAGGGCCAUCUAAGGUGGAGCAGCUACAAGAUGAGACCAACCACCUAAGGAAGGAGCUAGAGAGUGUGGGAAGACAGCUCCAGGCUGAGGUGGAAAACAAUCAGAUGUUGAGUCUCCUGAACAGGAGACAGGAGGAGAGGCUACGUGAACAGGAGGAGAGGCUACGUGAACAGGA